UACGGGGGGGGCAAGCGUUGUUCGGAAUUACUGGGCGUAAAGGGCUCGUAGGCGACCAACUAAGUCAAACGUGAAAUCCCUCGGCUUAACCGGGGAACUGCGCUUGAUACUGGAUGGCUUGAGAUUGGGAGAGGGAUGCGGAAUUCCAGGUGUAGCGGUGAAAUGCGUAGAUAUCUGGAGGAACACCGGUGGCGAAGGCGGCAUCCUGGACCAACACUGACACUGAGGAGCGAAAGCCAGGGGAGCAAACGGG
rnacentral:rRNA from 1 species